rnacentral:rRNA from 1 species
UACGAAGGGGGCUAGCGUUGCUCGGAAUCACUGGGCGUAAAGCGCACGUAGGCGGAUUGCUAAGUCAGGGGUGAAAUCCUGGAGCUCAACUCCAGAACUGCCUUUGAUACUGGCGAUCUCGAGUCCGGGAGAGGUGAGUGGAACUGCGAGUGUAGAGGUGAAAUUCGUAGAUAUUCGCAAGAACACCAGUGGCGAAGGCG